rnacentral:rRNA from 1 species
UGACACGGGGAGGCAGUGACAAGAAAUAACAACUCUAGGUUUUCUUAGAAGUGUAAUGAGGGUAACUUACAAACCUUACCGAAUGCAAUUGGAGGGCAAGUCUGGUGCCAGCAGCCGCGGUAAUUCCAGCUCCAAUAGCGUAUAUUAAAGUUGUUGCAGUUAAAAAGCUCGUAGUUGAAUUUCUAGUCAGUUAAUUUGGAGGUCUCCUUCACUUUAGCUGGCUAUUCGACACUGAACCAUGCCGGUUAUUAAGUUAACCCCAUGGAGAAUUGUCAUUUUACUUUGAAAAAAUUAGAGUGUUUCAGGCAGGCAAUUGCCCGGAUAUCUUAGCAUGGAAUAAUGGAAUAGGACUUUGGUUCAUUUUAUUGGUUAUUGAAUCAGAGUAAUGAUUAAUAGGGACAGUUGGGGGCAUUAGUAUUUAAUUGUCAGAGGUGAAAUUCUUGGAUUUAUUAAAGACUAACUUAUGCGAAAGCAUUUGCCAAGGAUGUUUUCAUUAAUCAAGAACGAAAGUUAGGGGAUCAAAGACGAUCAGAUACCGUCCUAGUCUUGACUAUAAACUAUACCGACUCAGGAUUGGCCAUGUUUAAACUUGGUCAGCACUGUAUGAGAAAUUAAAGUCUUUGGGUUCUGGGGGGAGUAUGGUCGCAAGGCUGAAACUUAAAGGAAUUGACGGAAGGGCACCACCAGGAGUGGAGCCUG